GGAGGGUGCAAGCGUUAAUCGGAAUUACUGGGCGUAAAGGGUGCGUAGGUGGUUGUAUAAGUUAUUUGUGAAAUUCCUGGGCUCAACCUGGGCACGUCAGAUAAGACUGUAUGACUAGAGUAUAGGAGAGGGUAGUGGAAUUUCCGGUGUAGCGGUGAAAUGCGUAGAGAUCGGAAGGAACACCAGUGGCGAAGGCGGCUACCUGGCCUGAUACUGACACUGAGGA
rnacentral:rRNA from 1 species